CGGGGUGUGGCCUAGUGGUAAGGCGCCACGUUCGGGACGUGGAGACCGGCGGUUCGAAUCCGCCCACCCCGA
rnacentral:tRNA from 2 species